rnacentral:rRNA from 1 species
GAGUCGUUGGGCGUUACGAAACCCGAAGGCGCAAUGAAAGUGAAGGCCCGGUCUCCGGCCGGCCUGGGUGCGAUCCGGACGGUCACGGCCGUUCGGCGCAGCACCGGCCCGUCUCCAUCGCCACGUCGAGGAGGCGGAGCAAGAGCGUACACGUUGGGACCCGAAAGAUGGUGAACUAUGCCUGAGUAGGACGAAGCCAGAGGAAACUCUGGUGGAGGUCCGUAGCGAUUCUGACGUGCAAAUCGAUCGUCAAACUUGGGUAUAGGGGCGAAAGACUAAUCGAACCAUCUAGUAGCUGGUUCCUGUCGAAGUUUCCCUCAGGAUAGCUGGCGCUCUUCGUGAGCAGUUUUAUCCGGUAAAGCGAAUGACUGGAGGCCUUGGGGACGAAACGUCCUCAACCUACUCUCAAACUUUAAAUGGGUAAGACGUCCGACUCGCUCGAUUGGAGCCGGGCAACGAAUGCGAGUGCCAAGUGGGCCACUUUU